ensembl:lncRNA
UAACACACAGCUCAGAUGUGAACUACAGUAGAUAUCAGACAUGCUAAAACCUGAGUUUUGCAAAAAAAAAAACUACUGCAGCAUGAGAUCAGACACAGAAUCUUACCACAGCAGGAAAACAGGGCAGACAAAUACAACACAGUGAUUUGAAAUGAACUGAUAGUAAUAAAUAUUAAUCUUUCAUAUUGUUGUUGGUGGUGGUGGUGGUUGUAGUGCAGUACAUAACUUUCUAAAUUAUCUCUUAUGUUUUAUUAUUUGAUUUUGUAUUUCACAGCUUCAGUAUUAAAGCCAGUCAUAAGAAAUCAAGCUGAAAAGCGCUCAGUGAGUCUCAGAGAGUCGUGCUCUCCUCUGUGCUCUGUGGAGAACGGGAAGGAUGUGAGUUUGUCCUGGUAUGAAGAGAAAGAGAGAAUCUCCAGCAUCAGCAGCUCAGAUUCCAGUGAACGUCUUUAUCUUCCUCUGAAUAAGACCAACCCAAACAACUCUACUUACACCUGUGUAGCUGCUAAUCCAGUCAGCGCUCAGACAGCCCAGCUCAACAUUACAAACAUCUGCAUUAAGUCAGUCUCAGGUCAGAAGGUUAAGAGAGAUCUCUCCAAAUCACUGGCUGCUGUUCUGACACCUGCUGGACUGAUUGCUGCUCUAUCAAUAUUAAGUGUGUGGUUCUGGAAAAAGAAGUCAAAUCAACAAGGCAAGAAAUACAUAAAUUUGAGUCGCUACACCAACUUUGUAACGACUUUCAGUACUCGUGAUUUUGUAUGUGAUAGUUUGCUGCACUUCUGUAAUGUAUUGUUGUGUUUUUUGUGUCCAGUUUAUCAGUAUGUUAAGCUGAGUUAUGCUGAAGUGAAAGGCACGUCUCAGUAUUCAGAUGAGGAUCAUAAGAAAGUUGGUGUUGGAGUGGCAGAAGACCAGCGCACAUUGGUGGUGUAUUCAACUAAAAGGAUGUAACUCUGUAUUUUACCAUUAGUUUAUCUAAUGACUCGUUUCUUUAGAUGCUUUGUGUUGAUUCCUUUGUUCAGUAACUUUUAACAGUGAACUGUUGCUUAGAACAUUUACUCCAUUUCUGUACUGCUGUAUCCAUUUUGUGUUUCUGAAUGUAGUGAAGACUUUGUGAUGCUGUAAAUGAAAGUAAAUGUAAGACCUCUGUCCAACAUGUGUUUGUGUAAAGAUGUGUUCAUUCUGCUUUUACUGAUGUAGGUACUGUAAGAGGUGAAACUGUAGAAGAACCUGCAAAAAGUCGUGAUUGGAGAUUUAUCUACUUAGACUUAUUGGGAACUCUCUUAACUCAAGCACUGACGUCUGCACAUCUUUAUUAUUUCCUUACACCAGCGACGUUAAAGUCAGUUACGACAGACAAAAUCAUGAAAAUAAACAGUGACAUUGAGAACCACUCAGACCUUCUGU